UCCCUGGUGGUCCAGUGGUUAGGACUUAGCGCUUUCACUGCUGUGGUCAGGGUUCAAUCCCCAGUUGGAGAA
rnacentral:tRNA from 1 species